CCUACGGGCGGCAGCAGUGAGGAAUAUUGGUCAAUGGACGAGAGUCUGAACCAGCCAAGUAGCGUGAAGGAUGACUGCCCUCUGGGUUGUAAACUUCUUUUAUAUGGGAAUAAAAUGUUCCACGUGUGGGUUUUUGUAUGUACCAUAUGACUAAGGAUCGGCUAACUCCGUGCCAGCAGCCGCGGUAAUACGGAGGAUCCGAGCGUUAUCCGGAUUUAUUGGGUUUAAAGGGAGCGUAGGUGGAUUGUUAAGUCAGUUGUGAAAGUUUGCGGCUCAACCGUAAAAUUGCAGUUGAAACUGGCAGUCUUGAGUACAGUAGAGGUGGGCGGAAUUCGUGGUGUAGCGGUGAAAUGCUUAGAUAUCACGAAGAACUCCGAUUGCGAAGGCAGCUCACUGGACUGCAACUGACACUGAGGCUCGAAAGUGUGGGUAUCAAACAGGAUUAGAUACCCCUGUAGUC
rnacentral:rRNA from 1 species